rnacentral:rRNA from 1 species
UGAGGGAUAUUGGUCAAUGGGCGCAAGCCUGAACCAGCGACGCCGCGUGGGUGAAGAAGGUCUUCGGAUCGUAAAGCCCUUUUCCCACUGAAGAGGAAGGACGGUAGGUGGGGAGGAAGUCUCGGCUAACUACGUGCCAGCAGCCGCGGUAAAACGUAGGAGACAAGCGUUAUCCGGAGUUACUGGGCGUAAAGGGCGUGCAGGUGGCGUCUUAAGUCUGUUGUGAAAGCGCCUGGCUUAACCGGGCGAGGCCAAUGGAGACUGAGAGGCUGGAGGACGGCGGAGGGGUGUGGAAUUCCGGGUGUAGUGGUGAAAUGCGUAGAGAUCCGGAGGAACACCCGAGUCAAAGGCGGCACUCUAAGCCGUACCUGACACUGAGACGCGACAGCACGGGGA